UUGUGGCAAGUGGCUAGAGCGUCCGCCUUGGAUGCGAAAGGUUGCGAGUUCGAACCUCGGCCGGGUCAU